rnacentral:rRNA from 1 species
UACGUAGGGUGCAAGCGUUGUUCGGAAUCAUUGGGCAUAAAGCGCGUGUAGGCGGCUAGUUAAGUCGAUUGUGAAAUCCCUGGGCUCAACCUAGGAAGUGCAGUCGAAACUGCCUAGCUUGAAGAUGUUAGAGGAGGGUGGAAUUCCAAGUGUAGAGGUGAAAUUCGUAGAUAUUUGGAGGAAUACCGGUGGCGAAGGCGGCCCUCUGGACCAAUACUGACGCUCAUGCACGAAAGCGUGGGGAGCAAACAGG